UGGCGUGCACCCGAGAGACCAGGGGACCCUAAAUUGGUGCCAGUCCAGCGAACUGUUUUCUUAUUGCAAGAAAUACAUUUGACUGUAAAGAUUUGGAUGGUGAUACCCCCGCAGCACCUGAUUUCGAGGCCAGCUCGCCCCCGCGUCCACAUGUAUCUUGCGCAUGUACGCGAACAGGACUCCAAGGUGCAUUGCACGGGCGCUGAGAUAUAAUAAGAACUCCCACCCCAUAUCCCUUGUAUUCUGAUCUAACGGUCUCAUCUGUUACUAUUUAAAUUAUGAUGUGUCUUGAAGGUCCUCUUAGGCCCAGCUUUUGUAUAUUAUAUUAAUAAUUAGCACUUUUCUUUCAAUACUUCCUACACAGUUGUUGGAAGGCGCCAUUUUACAUUCAGUUCAAAUGGGCACGUAUUCUCGCGAGUACUCGCUUGGAAAGUGUCACGAUUAAGGCAUGCAUGCUAGUAGCAGAAAGGAUGCUUGUCUUUGAGGUUCAAUACAAUUAUUAAAUUAUAGGACUAUUAUAUUUUAUUCUAUUCAAAGAAUCAGGAAGUUGUGGAAUGGCAAUGAAAUAUUUGAUAUGAAUCACAUCUAUCUUUGUUUUUUUCACUGUACAUUCUGAAACUUACCAAAUACCUUUCAAGGAUGGAAUACAACCCUGGUUCCUAAAGCACUGUUUGAAAUGGAAAAACAAAAAAAAGUUAUAAUUAAAAAACAAACACAGGCUACAAUAACAUUUUCUCAGUUGGCCUAUUGUUGGGCAAAAAAACAUCCAUAUAUUAAUUCCUAAUGUUUUAAUGUAAAAGUGAGUGUUAAAUUGACUGUUACGUUUAAGGAAACCUAAUUUUGACCCUUGCACCCUGUUUUCUAAGUAAAGGUUAAUUUUGUUCAGAAGUUAAUAUUCAAGGUCCGUCUGAAUGUAUACACUUUUGUGUGUGUAUGUGCCUUUAAACAGGAAUACAACUGCCCCAGUCUGCCUUAAAGAGCCAGGCAUGUGCUGGUGAGGCUCUCCCCACAACAGGCUGCCUCUCUGCUCUCUUAAGGUGGACCAGAAGAGAUGUGUUGUGUGUGUCUAGUACCUUGCAGUAACAAUGGACGGGAAAGAGUUAAUUCUCCUCUAGCCUCUUUGUGAUCUCAUGGAAGGCUGUCCAGUGGAUAUGAGGAUCACUCUCUUCCCCAGAACACUUCUUAUACACCGCAUCUCAUCUAAUAAUAGGGUACACACACAAUACCCCUCAUACAAAGGUAAAUAAUAUGAGGUGUGUAUGAUGAGAGGUGGGACUGAUCCCAAGCUGUACAAUACAUGACAACCUGUUAUGACUUGUUGACAGCAUACACAACACAUGGCACUAUGUUACAAUUGUGGAAUGAAUGAGAGGCCCUCACAUAGACUAUUGCUGCUUUAAGUGCUUUAUUCUUGCACCCAAAUACACUACGUUUCGACUUCACAGAAGACUUUGUCCGGUGUAUAUUACGAUUGACCUAAACCUAUUUACAUAUUAUAGUAAUCCUCAUCACUUACUGUAUCAUGUUAGCUACAUGAAUGUGUUUUGUGUAUGUCACUGUAUAAAAAUGUAUCUUAAGUUC